rnacentral:rRNA from 1 species
AUUGAACGCUGGCGGCAGGCCUAACACAUGCAAGUCGAGCGGAUGAAGGGAGCUUGCUCCUGGAUUCAGCGGCGGACGGGUGAGUAAUGCCUAGGAAUCUGCCUGGUAGUGGGGGAUAACGUCCGGAAACGGGCGCUAAUACCGCAUACGUCCUGAGGGAGAAAGUGGGGGAUCUUCGGACCUCACGCUAUCAGAUGAGCCUAGGUCGGAUUAGCUAGUUGGUGGGGUAAAGGCCUACCAAGGCGACGAUCCGUAACUGGUCUGAGAGGAUGAUCAGUCACACUGGAACUGAGACACGGUCCAGACUCCUACGGGAGGCAGCAGUGGGGAAUAUUGGACGAUGGGCGAAAGCCUAAUCCAACCAUGCCGCGUGUGUGAAGAAGGUCUUCGGAUUGUAAAGCACUUUAAGUUGGGAGGAAGGGCAGUAAGUUAAUACCUUGCUGUUUUGACGUUACCAACAGAAUAAGCACCGGCUAACUUCGUG